rnacentral:rRNA from 1 species
GAUGAACGCUGGCGGCGUGCCUAAUACAUGCAAGUCGAGCGAACGGACGAGAAGCUUGCUUCUCUGAUGUUAGCGGCGGACGGGUGAGUAACACGUGGAUAACCUACCUAUAAGACUGGGAUAACUUCGGGAAACCGGAGCUAAUACCGGAUAAUAUUUUGAACCGCAUGGUUCAAAAGUGAAAGACGGUCUUGCUGUCACUUAUAGAUGGAUCCGCGCUGCAUUAGCUAGUUGGUAAGGUAACGGCUUACCAAGGCAACGAUGCAUAGCCGACCUGAGAGGGUGAUCGGCCACACUGGAACUGAGACACGGUCCAGACUCCUACGGGAGGCAGCAGUAGGGAAUCUUCCGCAAUAGGCGAAAGCCUGACGGAGCAACGCCGCGUGAGUGAUGAAGGUCUUCGGAUCGUAAAACUCUGUUAUUAGGGAAGAACAUAUGUGUAAGUAACUGUGCACAUCUUGACGGUACCUAAUCAGAAAGCCACGGCUAACUACGUGCCAGCAGCCGCGGUAAUACGUAGGUGGCAAGCGUUAUCCGGAAUUAUUGGGCGUAAAGCGCGCGUAGGCGGUUUUUUAAGUCUGAUGUGAAAGCCCACGGCUCAACCGUGGAGGGUCAUUGGAAACUGGAAAACUUGAGUGCAGAAGAGGAAAGUGGAAUUCCAUGUGUAGCGGUGAAAUGCGCAGAGAUAUGGAGGAAUACCAGUGGCGAAGGCGACUUUCUGGUCUGCAACUGACGCUGAUGUGCGAAAGCGUGGGGAUCAAACAGGAUUAGAUACCCUGGUAGUCCACGCCGUAAACGAUGAGUGCUAAGUGUUAGGGGGUUUCCGCCCCUUAGUGCUGCAGCUAACGCAUUAAGCACUCCGCCUGGGGAGUACGACCGCAAGGUUGAAACUCAAAGGAAUUGACGGGGACCCGCACAAGCGGUGGAGCAUGUGGUUUAAUUCGAAGCAACGCGAAGAACCUUACCAAAUCUUGACAUCCUUUGACAACUCUAGAGAUAGAGCCUUCCCCUUCGGGGGACAAAGUGACAGGUGGUGCAUGGUUGUCGUCAGCUCGUGUCGUGAGAUGUUGGGUUAAGUCCCGCAACGAGCGCAACCCUUAAGCUUAGUUGCCAUCAUUAAGUUGGGCACUCUAAGUUGACUGCCGGUGACAAACCGGAGGAAGGUGGGGAUGACGUCAAAUCAUCAUGCCCCUUAUGAUUUGGGCUACACACGUGCUACAAUGGACAAUACAAAGGGCAGCGAAACCGCGAGGUCAAGCAAAUCCCAUAAAGUUGUUCUCAGUUCGGAUUGUAGUCUGCAACUCGACUACAUGAAGCUGGAAUCGCUAGUAAUCGUAGAUCAGCAUGCUAUGGUGAAUACGUUCCCGGGUCU